AACCCCCAGCUAGGCUGGGGGUUCAGUAAAGCUUUCAGCUUUGGGCCAGUUAUAAAAACCCCUUUUGAUUGUGCCCAG
rnacentral:sRNA from 1 species